CGAGCCGGCCGGGCGGCCGCGUGGGGAUCGUGAUCCCCCCGAGGAACGUCCGGGCUCCACAGGGCAGGGUGGUGGGUAACGCCCACCCGGGGUGACCCGCGGGACAGUGCCACAGAAAGCAAACCGCCGGGCCGCACGGCCCGGUAAGGGUGAAACGGUGGUGUAAGAGACCACCAGUGCCCAGGGUGACCUGGGCAGCUAGGUAAACCCCACCCGGAGCAAGGUCAAGAGGGGCCGUCGGCUGACGGCCCUGCGCGGACGACCGAGGGCUGCCCGCCCGAGUCCGCGGGUAGACCGCACGAGGCUGCCGGCAACGGCAGCCCUAGAUGGAUGGCCGCCUCCCGGCCGACCGCAAGGUCGCCCGGAGACAGAACCCGGCGUACAGGCCGACUCGUCCG
rnacentral:RNase_P_RNA from 2 species